UAACGAAAAUAGUGUGUAGCGA
rnacentral:miRNA from 1 species